rnacentral:rRNA from 1 species
AUUGAACGCUGGCGGCAGGCCUAACACAUGCAAGUCGCGCGGAGCGGUGGACGGGUGAGUAAUGCCUAGGAAUCUGCAUGGUAGUGGGGGAUAACGUCCGGAAACGGGCGCUAAUAUCGCAUACUAUCAGAUGAGCCUCGGUCGGAUUGGCUAGUUGGUGGGGUAAAGGCCUACCUAGGCGACGAUCCGUAACUGGUCUGAGAGGGGGAUCAGUCACACUGGAACUGAUACACGGUCCAGCUUCCUACGGGAGGACGCAGUGGGUAAUAUUGGACAUGGGGCUAAAGCCUGAGCCAGCAAUGCCGCGUGUGUGAAGAAGGUCUUCGGAUUGUAAAGCACUUUAAGUUGGGAGGCGUUACCAACAUAAUAAGCACCGGCUAACUUCGUGCCAGCAGCCGCGGUAAUUC